UCUGCUGGAGGGGCGCCGGAGAUUAUUGGGGGGGGGCAGAGCCCCCCAAACGAAUUUUUGAGGGGGCUCGGGCCCCCUCAAGCCCCAUGGAGUCAGCGCCUAUGCACAUGAUGCCAUCCCUGAGGAUGAGGGAAGUUCAGCAAGCCAGGAACAGGAAAGAGGUUUUUACCUGAUAUCUUACCGAGUUACCUAAGGAAAGGAAAAACGGGGAGAGUUGCACGAUUUAACAAGGCAAUGGCAAGAAAGAUGACUUUACACACUUCUUCAUACAGAAUCGAUUAAAGAAUCAAAGCAGAAUCACCAUCCUUUUAAGAAGGGUUGACAUGAAAUAAUGACAGCUGAACAGUUGACAUUUUGAUUUUAUUACAGGUUAUUUAUUCCCCUUAAUGAACUACUUCUACCUCGGUGAAAGAUACUUGCCUGCGCAAAACCUUACCUGAAAUGGGGUAAAAGGGAGAAAUUAACAUAAAAAAGAC